rnacentral:rRNA from 1 species
UACAGAGGGGGCAAGCGUUGUUCGGAAUUACUGGGCGUAAAGGGCGCGUAGGCGGCCUGUUAAGUCGAACGUGAAAUCCCCGGGCUCAACCCGGGAACUGCGUCCGAUACCGGCAGGCUUGAAUCCGGGAGAGGGAUGCGGAAUUCCAGGUGUAGCGGUGAAAUGCGUAGAUAUCUGGAGGAACACCGGUGGCGAAGGCGGCAUCCUGGACCGGCAUUGACGCUGAGGCGCGAAAGCCAGGGGAGCAAACGGG